ACGGUCGUAUCACUACCAACAUGAACUGUCCCGACCAAUAUGGCUCUUUUCAACUGAUGAAGGGGUGCUUCUACCUGAAGCGGAUGAUACAUGACAGAUGUUUAAUCCCUGCUUGAACGUUGCUGAUGUUUGUAUACCGAGUAUUGAUGGCAACUGGAUGGACUGGAAUCUACUAGAAUUUUUUUAAAACUACAAGUACCAAGUUCCGAAAUCAAGCUCAGUGGACAUGGUGGAGUGAGGGCUCCCACGGCAUCUUUCAACAAGUGCAGCAUGCAACACUUCUGAACAACAUGUGGCAAACUUGCUGCAUCCAACUACAGUACCUGUACAAGUACAUAUGACUCCAUCUUUAAACCACAAGAUGUUUUUGUUCACGAGUUCACUGCUUCAACUGUCUCAUAGAAAUUGUCCUGUUUAUUGGGGUCACUGAAUGCAGUGCAGGCAAGGAGUUAGGACUGAAGGACCCUGUAAAACGUCUCUGACAAGGUCAGAUGUAGAUUGAUUUGUAAGUUUGAGUACUGUACUUUGGUGCCCAUGGACAUGUACCAUCAGUUCAAGUACGAGUGCUUCGCGGCAUUCGAGUACCAGUAAACUGAAAAUGGUACUCUGGUGGUACUUACACAUAAGUAUGGGUACUAAAACGCUGGUAAAAUAAUUCAUUUCUGAUUAUCUUGGUGUAAUUUAUGCCCCUUAAAAAUGAUUGCUUAAGUUAUGCAAUGAACUGUUGUACAAUGUGCCGUCCUAUGCAGUACAUAAUUGUGGAACUUAAGUGAAGCGAAUCAAAAUUUGCUGUGUAACUUAUGCAACAAAAAAGCAUUUCAACAGUCUUGAAUGCUUGCAGAGCUUUAAAUCACAAACAAAGCGUAUUUUAGUCCCUAACAGUGCCAAGGUUCCAGACCUCUGUUGUGUAUUGUAGGCCUAACAAGCAGAAGCCUGUCAACAUAUUUUCUAUGACAUUUCUGGGCUACAAUCGAGAGACAUAUAACUCCCAAGUGUUACUACAUUUGUCACUACAUUGCU